rnacentral:rRNA from 1 species
AGAGUGAACGCUGGCGGCAGGCCUAAUACAUGCAAGUCGAACGGCAGCACGGCAGAGCUUGCUCUGUGGGUGGCGAGUGGCGGACGGGUGAGGAAUACAUGGGAAUCUGCCCAGUCGUGGGGGAUAACGUAUGGAAACGUACGCUAAUACCGCAUGCCGCCCGUUCGGGGGAAAGCCCGGGGACCUUCGGGCCUGGCGCGAUUGGAUGAGCCCAUGUCGGAUUAGCUAGUUGGCGGGGUAACGCCCACAGGCAACGAUCCUUAGCUGGUCUGAGAGGAUGAUCAGCCACACGUGGGACUGAGACACGG